GUCGGGUUCGGGAUGAAGUGGUUGACCACGCCACCCAUCACGGCGAAGGUCCGCUUGCCCUCGGUGAGCAUCUGAACACCACGGCGUGUGAACUCCUU
rnacentral:sRNA from 1 species